ensembl:lncRNA
CUGUGGCUCUGGAGGAUACAGAUGCGUCAGUCACUCACACAAACAAACAGCCACACUGUCAUACUUCAGGCAGCGAACGCCAGGUGGCGCUGCUAGCCGCGGAGGAAGCUUCCACUCCUCGUCACUUCCAGGAACAACGACCGGGAGGCAUCUAAAGUGAAGUGGGGGGUGUGGGGCACGAAUCCAAUUUGUGCCAGCAUCUGUGAUUGGUCAUGGCCGUGAUCUCUGACGUGCCGCGUGACGCUGCUCUCAUCUCCUGAUCGCCGCAUCACUCCGGCGUCUGUCUCAAAAUUGGCUUUGUGCUCUGUGUCUCAAAAUUGUGCUGCUGCACAAAAACUUUCUCAUGACUGAUGAGGAGACAAACCAACUGUGAUUUCAGUCUCAGAAAUCACUGCACACUUUAAUGGAGAAAGAAAGAUGGAUUUGGAACAACACCAGGUGGCCUGUACAGAUGUAAGGGAAAACACAGGGUUAUGAAGAAACCGUAGGAGGAACAAUGGCUCGAAAAAGGACACCCGUCCUCCUCUGCUCGACUUGGGAAGGUGCUAAGAGAAAUGACAUCCAAGAGGGUUGCAGACAAACAUUUGUCCAGAUGAGCUGCGGUAACAGGAUUGUGUUUGGACAGGAGCUUCUCUCUGUAGGGAACAAGAUUCUCUGAAGUGAAACGCUGGAGGAUUCUAAGAAUGAACCACUUGCAGAACUUUCUUUGCGGUUCUGAUGAUUCAUCCACCCAACCGUGAGAUGACUAGACUGCAGCUCUGACCAAAUUCAACUGCUGUAAGAACAAGCUGAAGAAGUUGAGAAAUACAUGCUGGCGGUUAUUCUGAAAAUGUCUGUUUCCCACCGGAAUGAAACGUAUACAGGCAAAACAUUGAAAAGCCCCCUCCGUUGGAGAGAGAGAAAGAGAGGGAUGGAAUAAGAAUGAGAGCGAGUGAAACAGAGUGAGUCAUGAGUGCAGCUUUGAACAACAAGGGGAAAUCCUCCUAUUGAGAGGCAUGCGCAUUGGAAACACACAUCAUGCAUAGAGCUCCUGACAGUGACAGCUCCUGCUCACCAUCCAGUUUCACAGUAUGGAGAACCUCUGAGAUUCUGCUAAACGUCUGUUUUUGUGUCCUGCAGAAGAAAUAGUCAUACAGCUUGAGGGACGUUCCUGAGAUGACAGACAUGCACACCUACAGGAGUUCAGGGGUGAAGCCCCCCCAUGGCGACGGAAACGGCCCGAGGAAAGGCCUCAUGCUGAAGGGAGAGGGGCCCGGCAGCUCCCUCAAACAAUGGAAGUUCUUGGAAGAUUUUAGGAAGGUCCUGUGAUUUACUAUUCAUCCUUUUCUUGAAUGCCACUUCACUCCCUGUUCACUCUGAAACAUGGAGCAGUUUCUCAAAAAGUGUGUUUCUUUGCGUGCACGUGAGACUGAUACCCGUGUGACCCAACCGGUUGAGCGGCUUUUUGGCGCCCUCAGAAAAUAAAAAGAAAUAUAUUGUGCAAAGCAGCUAACGUGUCAACACAAGCUUUUAUCAUUCCUUUGUCUGUUUAAAAGCUUUUAUGUGGAAUAAUCUUUCCGACACAAUUUGACAUACUUGAAAUAAUCCACAUAAAUUCCAUUAUUGUUUAAAGACACCCUUGCUUCUACGCUUAAUUACCCCGGCGCUUCUCUCACUGUGACUGAACUCUCAUUAUGCUCUGAGGGCAUGAAGAAAAGGAGGUUUAACAUCCACAAAAGAAAGAACCUUCUUAUACCCUGGAAAAUGGAUACACUGUGACCUUUAACCUUUGGGGGAUUAGGCUUCAUUAGGGGGUGACCCUAAAACCUCUGUUCACCCGUAUGCUCAUCUCUCUGGGAUUAGAAAUCUUCAACCAAUAGGUCCAUGGCAUUUAAAGGCAGGUUAUCAACGUGUAGUGUGUGUUGCUAGUUUGAUUGUAAAGAAAGUCACAAAUAAAUUUUACUUCACCAUAAACAUUACCAUCUCUUGUUAAGGGAGAAGUGAUCAGUCAGCAGAGCAGGCGUAUGAGUGUUUACUUAAUACUUUGUUCUUGCAUCUGUUGAUUAAAUUGUUACUUGCUGCUAAGAAGGUUUUUUUUUAUUCUCUGGCUAUUUCUACUGCUAUUUUUUAUUGUAAUUUGUAUUUUUGAUUGCACUUUAUUUGUAAUUAGAGUAAUAGCUGUCGGCUAAGAAACAGCUUUUGUUAUUUAUAUUGCUCUGUUUCUGCACUUAAGUGCAAACUUUAGUUUCGAAUUGAGCGAUUUGGGUGUGCUAA